rnacentral:lncRNA from 1 species
GCAGGAGGGUGGGUGACUUCCUCUAGAGUCUGCAGGAGGAGUCCCCAGACGGUCGCUGUACACUGCACAAUGGCCCGGCCAGCUCAACAGAAAGUUACAGUGUGGUGCCGGAAGUCUGAGUAACAGACACUGGAGGACUGCAGAAUGGCUGUUGGGGUUCCCUGGACACACUCUUCUCACCCUCACCCCGGUCCUACUGAGGUCCUGCACUACCCCUCUGCCCCUGUCUCUGCUUUGCAAACUCCUCUUUGUCUUUAAAACCUCAGGUCCCCUUGGAGACUCUGUGUUCUAUGCCUUCUGCAGUCACCUUGGCCGUAGCCUUCAAUGACAAGUGUCCCUCUUACUGCUGUGGACCCCUCCUGCUCGGGACUUGCUGACUGCCCAUCAGCCUGAGAAGUCCACAGUGCCUUUGCCGAGUGUCCGGAGCCCCCAGGAAAGGCCCUACUGCUGUCUUAUUGGUAUCCAGAAGAUGGGAGCGAGGUCUCCUCAGCACAUCAUGAACCUAAGCCUGUUCUCUGCCUUGAUUCUUCCUCUGCAUCUCUGGACUGUCAAUUCGUCCCUGCUCUUGACUAACCUGCACAGGGCAUGCACUUCUCAACAAAAGCCAAGCUAUGAAUGGCAGCAGAAAGACGUCCAUACUCUGUGUGCAUGUCCUCUACUGCUCCACUAACAAUGACGCUGAAAAACAAAAGAUAGAAAUUUAAAAAAGAGGAAAAAUGAAGACGGUGAUUUGUAAAUAUUGACCUAACAGAGGACAUUUUGGAAAGGAUUGAAGGAACUCCCUGUACUUUCAUACCCUCAAAGUGGCAGGAGCACACAAGUCAUCUCAGUAGCCCGCAUCUUGAGAGACUGGACUGCUCAGAGCUAACAUUCAAG